GUUGAUUAUUUUAUUGUGGAAAGAAGAGAAGCGACACACAAAAUGAGGUCUUCUCGUUUAAUAGUUAAGAUAAAUUUGAGAAAAAUUCAAAUUGCUUAAAGUUUUAUAACAAAAAACACACAGAGUACCUCCCUGUUGGUUUCACAACAUUCAUUUGAAACUAUUUUUGAGGAGCAAUCAGUAUUAGCUGUAUAGCUAUAUAGUUG
rnacentral:lncRNA from 1 species